UUAUGAAUAAUAUAUUUAUGAACGAUUGAAUUACUAGCUUGAAUGACGAAAAUCUACUGAAAUAAUUAUUUUGUAGUAAACCGUAUUUUUAUUAGGGACGUAACUGGUACUUGUAUACUUUUUUUUAACAGGUACGGAAAUGAUACAUUAAUUUUUUUUUUAUGCUGGAUCAAGUCGGUAAAAAAAAAAAAGGUUAUUGAAACGGGACUCGGGAGCCGGAUUUUACGUUUAUAUCAACGAUUUUUUAGCGUAUAGAUACGACUAUUGCUGUAAUAAGAUACUUUAAAUUAGUAU